rnacentral:rRNA from 1 species
UACGAAGGGGGCUAGCGUUGUUCGGAAUUACUGGGCGUAAAGCGCACGUAGGCGGAUACUUAAGUUAGGGGUGAAAUCCCAGGGCUCAACCCUGGAACUGCCUUUAAUACUGGGUAUCUUGAGUAUGGAAGAGGUGAGUGGAAUUCCGAGUGUAGAGGUGAAAUUCGUAGAUAUUCGGAGGAACACCAGUGGCGAAGGCGGCUCACUGGUCCAUAACUGACGCUGAGGUGCGAAAGCGUGGGGAGCAAACAGG